GGGUCUCAGGUGACCGGAGGGCGGCUGCCUCCCGCGCCCUCGGGUGCGCGCGCGCGCGCGCCUGUUCCUCCCCUCAGGAGCCCCGGGGGGGGUCACGAGCCGGCGCGAGGCUCUGCUGAGGGAGGUUGUGUUUGCCGGUUACAGCCAAGCCGGAAUAACCUCACUGAUUUUUGUUUUCAAACAUUCCGUCUAAGCCUUCGGCGUACAAGGAACUCGAAUAUCUGUACUAUCGUCAGGAUUUAUAACUCCCCCCCACACUUCCCGCCACGCUCCCCUCAGAAGUUCCCUCUAAGCCUUCAGUGUACAAGGAACCUGAGUAUCUAUACUAUCGUUAGUGCUAAAGCUUCUCGCACUUCCCCCCGCAGCCCCUCAGGCGCUUUCAGCCGCAAAGGAAAACUAAAGAGGGUCGUUGAAAGCCUCAGUUCCCAAGGUGUAUUUCUGUGGCGAUUUGAACAAAACCAGCCCUGUAGUGCUUCCGCUUCUUCCCCGUUCAUUUUUCCCAACUCGCGGCCGAGGGAAAGGUGUUUCUAGACCGCAGCAAAAUGCAGAUGACUUGACUGUGAAAAUUUUUGCUGCUUCCCAAAGCAAAAUUUUAUGAGCUCCAGUUUUAUCAGUGCUCCAUGCUCUUCCUUCAGCACAUUAUCUAUCUUAUGUGGAGCUGCAGGUAAAUCAUACUCUAAUGACUUGAGGGAAAAAAAAGAGACAAGUUGUUAUAAAAUGAAAUUACAUGUUCUAUGUUCUCCCAUUUUUGACAAAACACUUUUCUCUUGUUUAGUGAUGAAUACUGUCAAUAUACUGCAGGAAAAGUAAGUCAUUGAUCAAAUAUUGAAAAUACAUCCCGUUUAGAAACCUGUCAAAGAAGAGAAAAUUAUUCUAUACCCCAGGAUCUGAUAUUUUUCCAUGCAUCUUCAUCUUUAUGUAGAUUAUUGCUGUUCAUAACCCAUGGAAAUAAAAUCCUGAAACCACUGAAAUAAAGUUAUAUA
rnacentral:lncRNA from 1 species